rnacentral:rRNA from 1 species
UCAUGACAUAAAUAAAAGUUGAAUAUUACGAACAAUAGUUUAAAAUUCAAAGAUUUUGGCGGUGUCUUAUAAAACCAGGGGAACCUGUCUCAUAACUCGAUAAUCCACGCACACCUGACCUUCUCUCGACAAUUCAGCAUGUGUACUGCCGUUGUAAGCAUACCUUUAAAAGAAUAGUAUGCUACUAUGAUUAUAAUUAACUCAUAUACAUCAGGUCAAAGUGCAGCUAAUGAGGAGGAGAUGAUGGGUUACAACCAUAAAAAAGACUAUCAACUAAAAAAUAAAAAAUUUAUUACGAAAGUGGACUUGGCUGUAAUUAACUUCAGUUAAAACAAAUGAAUAAUCUCUAAGACAUGUACACAUCGCCCGUCACUCUAUCCUAAAGGUU